rnacentral:lncRNA from 1 species
AUGGAAGAUGUAAAUGCAGCAUUGAGAGCAAUCCCUACCACAACAAUCACAGAAACCAAUGAGCUGAUAUACGCUUCAGCAUCAGUGAUCCUAGAGGUGCUUGGCCAUAAGAGCAACCAUGGGAGCCAUGAGAAACAAUACCCACCAUGGAAACGAAGGUUGGAGGCAAAAAUCAAGGCAGCUCGGAGGGAAGUGAGCCAAAUGACAGAGGCCCAGAGAGGUGCAAUGAAAAGACCGAUGCCCAAGGGGUGCAGUCAGAUGCCCAUACCUGAAGCACUUGAAACUGCCAAGCAAAGGCUACAAGCCUUGGCCAGCCGCCUAAAGAGAUACACCAGAGAUAACGAAGCCAGACGAAUAAACCGGCUGUUCGCAACACAACCUGUGAAAGUGUACUCUCAAUGGCAGGGUAAUAACAGCAGAGCAGACCCACCAAGGCUGGAAACUGAACAGUACUGGAAAGGUAUAUGGGAAAGGGAGGCGUCACACAACAGCGAUGCACAGUGGCUGGUGGAUCUGAGGGAAGACCACAGCAACCUCCCUGAACAGAAUCCAGUGACUAUCACAGUGGCAGACAUCCAACAAAGAGUCUCAGGUAUGAAAAACCGGACAGCACCUGGCCCUGACAUGAUCCACGCCUACUGGCUAAAGAAGCUCACUGCAAUCCAUGAGCACCUGGCAGCACAAAUGAACCAGCUGCUAAGGGAUGGGACUCACCCUGAAUGGCUAACCGAAGGGCGAACGAUCCUGAUAAUGAAGGAUCCCUCAAAGGGUGCAGUCCCAUCCAACUACCGGCCAAUAACCUGCCUCUCCACAACAUGGAAGCUCAUGUCAGGCAUCAUCGCAGCUAAGAUAAGUGGGCACAUGGGUCAAUACAUGAGCGAAGCACAGAAGGGCAUUAGUAAGGAUACCAGAGGAGCCAAACACCAACUCCUGGUAGACAGAACAGUUGCCCAAGACUGCAGAGUGCGACACACCAACCUGUGCACAGCCUGGAUCGACUACAAGAAAGCCUAUGACUCAAAUAAUAAACAAGACUGGCUAUGGAUACCGACUCCGGAACGGGGCCACCAUAAGUCACCUCCUCUACAUGGAUGA